rnacentral:rRNA from 1 species
AGCAAACGCUGGCGGCGUGCCUAAUACAUGCAAGUCGAACGGGGAAAGUAGCAAUAUGAGUACUAGUGGCGCACGGGUGAGGAGCGCGUGGGUAAUCUGCCUUCGAGCGGGGGAUAACUAGUCGAAAGAUUAGCUAAUACCGCAUAAGACCACAAGAUCUGCGGAUCUAGGGGUCAAAGCAGCAAUGCACUUGAAGAUGAGCCCGCGUAAGAUUAGCUAGUUGGUGAGGUAACGGCUCACCGAGGCGAUGAUCUUUAGCUGGUCUGAGAGGAUGAACAGCCACACUGGAACUGAUACACGGUCCAGACUCCUACGGGAGGCAGCAGUAGGGAAUAUUGCGCAAUGGGGGCAACCCUGACGCAGCGACGCCGCGUGAGUGAUGAAGGCCUUCGGGUCGUAAAGCUCUGUUAUAUGGGAAUAAGUUCUGAAUGUACCAUGAGAGAAAGGAUCGGCUAACUUCGUGCCAGCAGCCGCGGUAA